GAAAAAUUCGAAACCUUUUUAUAUAAGAUCCGAGACUCGUAUACACACUUGCCACUGUUUAUCUAAAAUUUACCGACACACAAAAGGUAGGUGAACGAGAUGGUGCACGUACAGAACAGAAUCGUUACGUACUUACAUUACAUACAACCACAGAUGGAAGAGGCAGCAACGUCCACGUCACUCGGUAUCGCUUGCCAAUUGGCUGGGUGCUCGAAACGUUUCAUAAUGCGUUCGAACGGAGUUAUAAAACGAGCGAAACUCGAGCCUGCAACCGCUCUACGGCUCUCUUAUCUUUUCUUUUCGAAACGAUGCCAGAUGCACAUGUAUAUACGUGAAUGUUGACACGUUCGGUCAACUCAUCUUUCCUUUCUUUCUUAAUAGAAGAAAUCAACAAAAAUUAAAAAGGAUUUGAAAGACGAAUAUAGAUGAUAAUUUAAAAAUGGUCAAGAAGAAGAAGAAGAAGAAGAUAGAGAUUAUUAAAAAAUUAGACAAUUGCUCACAUAAUUGAAUUGACGAUUUUGGAUGUAUUUGAAGUUGUAAAGCUAUAUACUAUUUCUGCGAAAUAGAUAUUAUAAUAUUAAUAGAUACUACUCAUAUCACUAUAAGUUUUUAAUAAUAUGAAUAUAUUUGCAGAAUUCUUGAAAA